AAUAGAUACCCGGGUAGUCCACGCCGUAAACGAUGAGUGCUAGGUGUUGGGGGCAUCACGUCCUCAGUGCCGAAGGAAACCCAAUAAGCACUCCGCCUGGGGAGUACGGCCGCAAGGCUGAAACUCAAAGGAAUUGACGGGGGCCCGCACAAGCGGUGGAGCAUGUGGUUUAAUUCGAAGCAACGCGAAGAACCUUACCAAGGCUUGACAUCCCAUUGACCGCACUAGAGAUAGUGCUUCCCUUCGGGGCAAUGGUGACAGGUGGUGCAUGGUUGUCGUCAGCUCGUGUCGUGAGAUGUUGGGUUCAGUCCCGCAACGAGCGCAACCCUUAUCCUUAGUUGCCAGCAGGUAAAGCUGGGCUCUCUAAGGAGACAGCCGGUGAAAGCCGGAGGAAGGUGGGGAUGACGUCAAAUCAUCAUGCCCCUUACGUCUUGGGCUACACACGUGCUACAAUGGAUGGUACAAAGGGCAGCAAAACCGCGAGGUCGAGCAAAUCCCAUAAAGCCAUUCUCAGUUCGGAUUGUAGG
rnacentral:rRNA from 1 species